rnacentral:tRNA from 1 species
GGAGAUGUAGCUCAGUGGUAGAGCAUUCGAUUGCAGAUCGAGAGGUCCCUGGUUCAAUCCCGGGCGUCCCCU